rnacentral:tRNA from 1 species
GGAGGGCUAGUGAAGUGGCUAAACACGGCAGACUGUAAAUCUGCUCCUUCGGGUUCGGUGGUUCGAAUCCAUCGCCCUCCA